rnacentral:rRNA from 1 species
UACGGGGGGGGCAAGCGUUGUUCGGAAUUACUGGGCGUAAAGGGUUCGUAGGUGGCUUGUUAAGUCAGACGUGAAAUCCCUCGGCUCAACCGGGGAACUGCGUCUGAGACUGAUGAGCUCGAGUGCAGGAGAGGAACGCGGAAUUCCAGGUGUAGCGGUGACAUGCGUAGAUAUCUGGAGGAACACCGGUGGCGAAGGCGGCGUUCUGGACUGCAACUGACACUGAAGAACGAAAGCCAGGGGAGCAAACGGG